rnacentral:rRNA from 1 species
GACGAACGCUGGCGGCGUGCUUAACACAUGCAAGUCGAACGGAAAGGCCCUGCUUUUGUUGCGUUCUCGAGUGGCGAACGGGUGAGUAUCACGUGAGUAUCCUGCCCUUGACUUUGGGAUAACUUCAGGAAACUGGGGCUAAUACCGGAUAUGAGCUCCUGCUGCAUGGUGGUCGUUGGAAAGUUUCGGCGGUUGGGGAUGGACUCGCGGCUUAUCAGCUUGUUGGUGUGGUAGUUGCGUACCAAGGCUUUGACGGGUAGCCGGCCUGAGAGGGUGAACGGCAACAUUGGGACUGCGAUAGGCAGCAGACUCCUAUGGGCGGCAGCAGUGGGGAAUAUUACGCAAUGGGGGCACGCGUGAGGCAAAAACGCUGGGUGCGGAAUAACGGGCUUCUGGUUGAGAACAGAUUUCGCCUGUGACGAAGAGUGAGUGACGGUACUGGGUAAAGAAGCAACGGCUAACUACGUG